rnacentral:lncRNA from 1 species
UUCCUCUCAUGUUAUAGGUAGGAGGGCAAGUUUCUUUGGUGAAAUCGACUUCAUCAAAUGGAACGAUGUAAUGAGUUUGAAUUUGUUUGACAACAUUUGAGCAGUUUUUCGCCUAUGUAACAUGAAUUUGGUUUCUGUUACGGUUUUAUCGGAAUGGGUCGAUCUAAAACUGAUACUCUGAUUGCUUCUUUGGUUUUGUGGUGCUGAAAUUGGUUUGUGAUUAGGGUUCAGAUCGUGAAUAGCAUAGCUGGGCAUAGCUGGGUUGGUUAUUGAUCUGAGGAUUAUUUUUUGUUUGCUUUUCAGGUUGUGUUGUUGCUUUACGACCUGGGUUGUAAUUUCUCACUUUUUCCUAUUGGUAGGGUGCUGCAAUUUGAUGGGUUUAGUUGCGUUUGGCCAUUUUCAAUAUAUUGCUUCUCAAUUUGAAUAUUGAUGGCAAGGUAAACCACUAUAAACCUUAUGUCUCAUUAUCUCUAAACCAUUAACAACAUCCGUAGAUACAAGGAAUUAACUCGCAUAAUCCACUCCAUCAACAUUGGCGCAGUCUGUGGGAAGCUGAUUAACAAGGCUUCGUCACACUUAUCAUGAGCUAACGGAACAAUUAACUUGUUCAUUUGGUGGGCCAGUGAUGCCAAACACCAAGCAUGACCCGCUCGUCUCUUCUGCUAGAACCAAUUAAAAGAAGACAAAAAAAUGGGAGUGGAAAAUUUUCGUGAGCCGCGGACCAGCAUCAACUCUCGAUCAUCUCUACACAAGCGGUAUGGUCUAGCGGUUCAAAAAUAAAAAAUAAAAAAAAGUAAAGAGUGGUUCAGCAAAACAAAAACAAAAAAAAUAUCAUGAAGAACCGGUCAGAAACAAAGUCCAUGAAGUUGUGCUAUGGACACCCAGAUACAAGGAACCCACUAGGGCACCCCAGCGCCUCACCUGCCAGCGUGUAGCAUAAGGGCCACAGCGCACCGUAGUGUCCCAGCGUGUGCGGCCCUAGCGCACUCCGCUCCCUCCAACUCGAGCGCUCACGCUCACCGCUCCCAACCGUUCAAGUUCCACUACUCGAGUUCGACUGUUCUAGUUGCCGCUUCAGUGCAUCCCGCUCAAACCCUAACGGACACCGCCCAGCGAGCGGAUCAUUCUCUAGCGGUUCAUCAUCUUUAGCCGCCAAGGAGAAGAACCGCUCAUCCCAUAUUGCAAUGGCUCAACCUCAAGCCUCCUCCGCUCCCUGACAAGCGCUUGACCUGGACAUCCGCCCACCAAGUAAGGAAACGCUAGAAAGAAAAAGAAGAAGAUGCAAGUUUUUGUUCUCCGCUCAUAGCAUACUGCUCGGAGAUCAUCGCUCCUCAAGUUGCAGCGCUCAUCCCUGGGUUGUAGCCGCUCAACCUCGAGCACACCGCUCGCACACAACCGCUCCACAUCUCACAACCGCUCACUCUUGAUCCGCUACUUGCUAGUGAUCCGCCACUCGUUAGUGAUCUGCCAUCACUCUUAAUCUGCCAUAGAUAAGUUUUUGAAACUUGAUUGAAAGUUCAAAGCACUCUUAACAUUCCUAUGUGUGAUUGUUGGAAGCAUGAACAAACAUCAAUAAUUUAAGCAUUCUCAUGCAUUGCAAUGGCGGGCGGACAAGUUAUACUUAGCCCAGUCAAGCGAGCAACAUUGAACUUGGCGCUUAGCAGCGAGAUACCCGCUCGGUCUCAAACCGCUAAAGGUUGAGCGCUCGGCAUCAACCGCUUAGCACUCUUCAUUCAGCACUUUCUUCGCUAGCUAAGCCGUCCACAACAACAACCAUCGACACAGAACAAGCCGCUAGCUAGGAUGCCGCCAACAACAAGCAACCGCCCAGUGAGCGCGCCUUCGCACCCCAGCGCUUAGCUCUCACCCGCUUGGCUUCAACAGCUUGUGUUCCGCCUCUCAACAACCCGCUCUGCCUCGAGCGGCACCACUGACCACUCAACCCGCUCAACUUUAAGCUAAUCCUCCAAGGUUCUCCACCUCGAGCACACUGCUCAACCGCUCAGUAUGGAGCACACCGCUCGACCUCCACCAUGAACUGAACUGCUAAAGCACAACGCUCAGUAUAAGCUACUAAUCUCUUCCUUAUUUUGUUUGGAGAGAAUUGAAUCACUCCAAAGUCAAACCGGGCCUCAUGUACAAAGUCAUGACGAGCUAUUGGCGGGGUCCCCCAAUGGCUUAGAGCGUCACGCUUUAACAACUAAUGUGACUUGGGGACUAAGCAAUUUCACUCCAAUCAACUUCAAGUCGGCAUGAGAUAAGUAACGGUUAAUCAUCUUAUACACGCUCUUGCAAAGAGCUAAUGCCAUGCCAUUACAUGUUUUUUACUACCUUUAAGCAUGCCUAGUUACAACAUUGUGUACACACACUUGCCAUGCUUUAAAUUGUCAAUCUAAACGGCCACUUAGCAUGUUCACCAAAUUUAGGACGCUAUUAGCUAGUAGUGUUACUACAAAGUACUUGCUAUAAUUACACAUGUUUCUAAUCAAUUAAGUAAACAUGAGUAGUAUGUAAGCAAACCAUAUCAUGUUUAGAGAAGUUGUGACUUUAAGACUUUCAACUAAACUAUGAUGGAGUUAGAAUUAGUUAGUGGUUUCGAGCAUGGCUACUACUUGAUCGGGUCCGUCCCACAAGCAAUACAACGCCUACCCGCUCACAACACCCAACUUGCAAAACAACUUCAUAUUUUAGUUAAGCAUUGAUCAUUGCCUCACCAUGCUUCAUGUAAUUUAAUGGAAAAUACUUCCAUUUAUUUCAAUUGUUGUUUGUACAAGUAGUAAAAGAUGCAUGCGUCGACUUUACCUAUGGCGUUUGCUAAAUUUUAUUAGUCUUACUAUGUUGAAACAAAUAAAUAUCCAAUCAAUCCCUAAAUUAGCUAGCGGAACUCGGGGACUUGUACACAUUUGCAUACAUAAUAAGAAUGUGUAAGCGUGGAUCCGCUCCACCAACAUUCAAAGCCCGGGGACUUCCCGGCACACAAGUUUUUGCAUGCAAUCAAUUAAUAAAAUCACAUUUUAGAACAAACCAUAUUUUUGUGAUACUAACAAGCUACAAAUGAAACGGGAUUAUCCCAACUAUUAUCCUUGGGCAACCGCUUGUUUACCAAGCAUCAAACGCCAAGAAUAAAUAUAAUCCCCUAACGAUUUCAUUUAGCACAAAAAUAUGGUGAUUUUUUUCAGGUCACGCAACAAGGAGUCCGCUCAAGUCCACCCUUACAAAACAAGCGGAUCUUGGAAGAUAUGAUGAAUCACAUGAAGAAACCUCGUGCAAAUGGGAUGCCUCACCGCUUGUGAGAGACUAAGCGAGGAUUAUCCGUUACUAUUUAACCUCACUGCGAUGAUUAUCCGCUAUUAGGAUGCCUCACCGCUUGUGAGAGACUAAGCGAGGAUUAUCCGUUACUACUUAACCUCACUGCGAUGAUUAUUCGCUUGUGGGAUGCCUCACUGCUUGUGAGAGACUAAGCGAUGAUUAUCCGCUACUACUUAACCUCACUGCGAUGAUUAUCCGCUUGUGAGAAGUCUUGCUAAGUGAGAAUCUAGCGUGUUAUAAACGCUAAGAUUUGUCUCUUUCGAUGAGAGACACUCAUUGAAUGAGAGAACAACAUAUGAGCCCAAACAAAUUUCCUCACCAUUCGUGAGAGACUAGCGAUAAUUAACCACUAGGGAUUUUAAUCCUCGCUAGCAAUUUUUCCUUACAGUUCGUGAGAGACUAGCGAUGAUUAACCGCUAGCAAUUUUUCCUCACAGUUCGUGAGAGAUUAGCGAUGAUUAUCCGCUAUUAAUUAACCUCCCCGCUUGUGGGAUGCCUCACCUUGUGAGAGACAGGUGAAGGUUAACCACCGAAGAAGCAUCACCGCUUGUGAGAGACUAGCGAAGUUUAACCGCUAGGAACUUGUCUCACCAUGUGAGAGAACGACAAAGGUGAGACGUACCGCCAAUUAACUUGCCUCACUAUGUGAGGGGAUAACAAGGCUUGAACCACUAAGAUGCUCCGGCAAGAAGUAGUUUCCACUAGCAAAUUGAAUUGCCAAGAUGUUCUGGCAAGAAGUAGUUUCCGCUAGCAAGUUGAACCACCAAUACUUUAGAAAGCAGUUUGAAGAUACCUUUCUUGAUUGCGGAGCUCGGGGACUAAUAGGGUUGGGCGCUACAUUGGUAUCUGAUACGACCCACUCCGAAUUUCACCCUGAAACCCGGAGUAACUCGUGCGGGGACCACCUCCAAGAAAGAUAUUACCGAAAAAUCGGCAUAACCUCCCUUGAAAAUGGACAACCAUUCCUAACGAAAACCUGCAAACACUUCCAAAAUUUUUUAAUCCAACCUUAACUCCUGGAGCCUACGUGCUCCCCAAAAACAAUUACCUCCAACAACACAACAUUAUCCAACAUCAAAUAUAAUUAUCCAAAAGAUACCAUAAAUCCUCCAACAAAUAUUCUAAGACGUCAACAAGUCUUCACCCACAACCGAAAUAAUAUACAUUAAACCCAAGUAUUCAGAGCUACUAAACACUAGCGGAAAAAGAAACCACAGGUAGGUUAAACAGGUAACCUACUGAUGAGAAGUGGUGGAAAUGCGGGUGACUAUGCCUCGUCUCCUACUAGGUCCGACCCGAACUCUGCAGACUGGGCAUUUUAAAACGAAUGGCCCAGGGGAAACAUUUGAAUACGUUAGAGUGAGUGGACAAAAAUAAAAUAAAGGAAAUAAUGCUUUAUGCUUUCCCAAUUUUACUUUUCCAUAAAAAAAAUAUGCUGCAUGCGACAGCCCAAAACGCUCAACACGAAAACUGGAAUUUCAUGACUGGCUCCGGCCAGUCUCCAACGCUCAAUAAAAUACAGCCUCUCAGGCUAAAAUAAAAUAUGUAUGUAUUACACUCGUCAUAUCCCUUGUAUGAAUUUUCUUGAAACAACUAAAACAAAUAGAAAAUUCACACAAGGCUACAACGCUUGCGUCUAACGCUCACGUUGCACCAUAAUGGCAUUUUACCUCAUUAUGGUGGAAAAGACGGUGUAUAAAUAUACGCGCAUAUCCCCUAUAUAAAUUAUUAUUUUUAUAUAGGGCUACAACGAUUGCGUCUAACGUUCACGUUGCACCAUAAUGAAAUUUUACCUCAGUAUGGUGGAAAAGCACGUAUAGCUAGCUAGCAUUCUCUCAUAUACAUAUUAUUCUCAUAAUCAUCCACAUAUGGAUAUAUAUAUAUAUAUAUAUAUACACUCACCGAAAUUCUCAAUUUCGGUUAUUCUCCAACAGCAUAAAUUAUUUCGCAUGCACAUUAUUUAAAACAAAAGUCCACUCACAAAUUAGGCCUAAGCCUGAUGUCGAUCUGGGGCCUCGUCAGCUCGAGCCUCCUCACGACCUGUUCCAAAUAUAAUAUUAAGUUCCCAGCCGAAAUUCCAAUAUUUACACAAAAUAGGCAGAAAUUAACCGAGAGCCAUUAACACGCUCAUCAUUGCCUAACUUCGAAAUGGUUCACAUUUCAACCCUAGAACCAGCAGCCGUAACUACACCUUCCCACAGAUUAAACAACUUAAUCCAACGGCCGGAUUCUACAUAAAUUAACCGCCAAAAAUACUAACUUCGGAAAUUCAUAAACCUAUCCAAAACUCAUCCAAAAAUUCCAUAACUCACUUCAAUAAACUCCCCUUAAUAUUCCAAAUUUAACAACAUUAAAAUCUCCUAAUCGGCGGCGGCUCCGCCGGCAGCGGCGGCCGGAGGCCAAUUCCGGCGACCUCCAAUUCCUAUGAAAUUUUAACAGCAUCUUCCUCUCAUCAUGCUCUACAACUUUCCUAACUAGCACAAACCCAAAAUCCAAGCCUAGCUAUGCCAAUCGAACAAAAACAUCAAAAACGCCCUAGAGCUUCCACCUCAAAUUUCUCCUUACCUGAAGCAAACCGGAGUGAGUCCUUUUAGG